AACGAACGCUGGCGGCAUGCCUAACACAUGCAAGUCGAACGAGACCUUCGGGUCUAGUGGCGCACGGGUGCGUAACGCGUGGGAACCUGCCCUUAGGUUCGGAAUAACUCCCCGAAAGGGGUGCUAAUACCGGAUAAUGUCUUCGGACCAAAGAUUUAUCGCCUUUGGAUGGGCCCGCGUUGGAUUAGCUAGUUGGUAGGGUAAAAGCCUACCAAGGCGACGAUCCAUAGCUGGUCUGAGAGGAUGAUCAGCCACACUGGGACUGAGACACGGCCCAGACUCUUACGGGAGGCAGCAGUGCGGAAUAUUGGACAAUGGGCGAAAGCCUGAUCCAGCAAUGGCGGGUGAGUGAUGAAGGCCUUAGGGAUGUAAAGCUCUUUUACCCGGGAUGAUAAUGACAGUACCGGGAGAAUAAGCUCCGGCUAACUCCGUG
rnacentral:rRNA from 1 species